rnacentral:antisense_RNA from 1 species
CCUAAGGCCUAGCUCAGCUGCCACGUCCUAUCUGGAUCACCACCCCCACCAACCCCGAGACCAUCUUGAACCCUCCAGCAAGUGAGCGCCUCCACUGGUGCACUUAAACACCAACAGUAGUACAACAGCAGCGCAUGACUCCCCUCCCCACAGGCUGGCAAAUGCCCGUGGGAGCCAGUGAUCCAGCCUGCUCUAGUCUGUCAGAAAGGCUGCUCAGGACCAGGGGAUUACAACCUGAAGAAAGCCUUCCGAAGCAAGAGCCAUCCACAGCCAGUUUCACCACUAAUUUCAAGGAUUACACUAGGAACAAGAGCAAAUCUACCACUAUCACCCCAGACUAUGCCCAUCAUCUCCACCUCUCCCACUGGAAGAAGUGACAAUCUAUUCUCCACACAGGAGCCAGAGAAAAUGCCUUAAAACGGAUGUCGGGUCCUGUCAGACCUUUGCUCAAAACCCUCUGAGGCUUCUGAUCAUUAUCUGAAUAAAAUCCAAACUCCUUACCAUGA